ensembl:lncRNA
CGCAACUGCCAGAGCUCUUAGUGCUGCAGUUUUCUAGUCGCAGUGCGGCAAAGCAGACGCAUAGACCCAGGCACAAAGCAGCAUAGAUUUUUUAUUCUCAUCUUUUUUUUUUUUGUCCGAGAGACGUUUUCCUGGUGUUAGCGCAGAAGCAGACAUGCAGCCUGGAUAUGCUGGCUCCAGCCUGGCAGCUCUUUCGGCUGAGCAGGGACUGUGUGGAGCUCGGUGCCCACGCUGCCGCUGAGGAAGAAAGCUGCUCUCCCACUCUGUGCCGUGACGAUACACCUGCAGCCACAAGACCGUGGAGAUGGCGGCACUUGUCUCUGUUUGCCUGACUGGGGCCUUUGCAGGUGCUCCUCUUCCGAAGCUGUGCUGGCGUUCCAGGGCCGUGCAGAUGGGUAAUACAAUUUGCUGCAGUUUCUUACAUCAGUGUAGCAAAGCUCAAGCGAACAACCAGACUCUGACCUAAAUCAGUCCCAGUUCUUCGGGAUACAGGGCAGCAGGCGACUGGCAGUGAUACAAUCAGCCAUCAAGUGGAGAGGCUCUGGGACUGCAAUCUGUAUGGGUUGGAGUCUGUGAGAAUGAAACAGUUCCCGUUAUCCGGUCGCUUCUCCUUCUAAUAAUACAAUUGCUACAACUGCUACUACUACCGCAUCUGUUUCUCCAUGCCUGAAAGAAGCUGCUCCUUGCGCCCUCUCUGUGUGGGUAUUUGCGCAGAUUAGUCUGUUGGUAAUGCAGCCCUUAUCUGCUUCUGCUGGAAACCAGGGCACGAAGUCAGCCUGCCUUAACAGUUGUUUCUUUCUGCGUGAUGCUAUGCAGCUAGAAUGGGUUACGCUGACAACAAAGGAGCCAGCACAAAGCAUCACUUUAUUUGCUGGACUGCUACAGGAACCCGACUCUUCUUCGCUACGAAGCCCUGUUCUCUUCCCUUUUUGUUUUUUGUUUUUUGUUUUUUUUAUGUAAUUCAUCUAAUUGAAGAGCCUAACAGACACCAUCGUGGAUGUGGGUUUUAAUGAUUUGGAAAAGACAGCCUGUGGAGACUGCGAUUGGAGACUGCAACACGCUUAGGUUAUUGCCAAUUUGAAAUACUUGGUUUGUGAAGCACAGCCCUAAGGGACAAGCGCAGUAACUGAGAGAGAGAUCGUAGAUAAAGAAAUAAAAAUGACAAGCAUAAUGGAGGCUCUGCAAGAAACUGUCAGGGAAUCAGUUCAUGGAUGGCAAUUUCACCAGUCUGAAUCUGAAUAAUUCAUAGAUUGAAAUUACCCUGCUUUCACCUUUCCAUUUAAACUGGCAUGAUCUGAAUCUCUAAUAAAUUUUCAAGAUAAAGUAAAAUGCCAAUUUGAAUCUGAAGAGCUUUUAAAACCAAAUGCUACACCCUGAGUCUUUCGAUACCUUUCACAAUUAUCCUGUGAGAGCCGCACUUCAUCACGAAGCACCAUUACCAGUGAAAAUUACGGUGAUUACAAUAGCAACAAUAGAAUACCGUCAAAUGAUCUCCAAUUUACCUAAUUUACCAAGGUUGACUGUGUGCCCAUUGUGCUUCACUACGUCUGGCAUUGGAUCAAUAUCACAGAGGAAGAAAAAUGCCUUAGUAUAUGCUUCCUUUUGGUGCCUUUAACUUUGACAGCACAGGAAAAUCUAUCUCCUGUUAAAUGUUUUUACAGCCCAUCUGCAUGCCUGCCAUAGGAUCUGAUUGAUUCUCCAUCAUUUUCUUUGGUUGCUGAGUAUUGGAUGUUAUUGUGUUACUAAUUUGUUUAUAACGUGUACUCCUGCACAAAGACUGCAGCAAACGAGUAACAGCACAGCGACUGCGCUGCUGCAGCAGUAGCACUGCACUCUCUCGCAGGGGAAGCCAAAAUGAGUUUGGUGCCUUAUGUGAAUAAUCACUUGCAUCUGGGUUAUAAAUGCUUCCAAACAUCACUCAUCUUGGUUGCACGACAUGAGAAAUGUGUGCAAAAGUCGUGGUCAAGGGAAAUGGUUAUCUGUAAUCCUAACAAGAUUUCUCCCCUAUCCAGCAAUCAGUAUGAGGCUGUGAGAGAUAAGCUGUGACUCUUUCUUUAAAUGUGUGUGUGUACAUACGCAUGCACGUACAUAGGAGGUAAGGAUAGUAUGCGUUGUGAUUACGUGCUGAUCAGUGAAAGCCACAUUUCUCUGACAAGCCAGGCACAGUGUUUUGCCACAAUCUGCUCAGUUGUAACAAAUCCCGGUUUUGGAGUUUAUAUUUUCUAUAGGACAAUACGUGACUUCUGGAACAGUAAGUACCAUUUAUCCAGCAUGCCGGUGCCUGUAGCAAUGCCACGGAAUGGUAUUUUAAGCAUAGUUUGACUACAGUGUGGAUAAGUAAGAAACAUGCACAGGAGGCUACAACAGGCAUUCCUCCUGGAGAAGACUGUGUCCGUUGUCUGUAUGUGUGUGAGUUGUCCACAUCAAUCUUGUUUCUUCUUUUAUGACCAGAUUUACUCUGCCCCCACGAAGUAUUUGCUAAGGAAGACAAUCCCUGUGGAGCUGAUAGCUGUGGACUAAUGACUGGUAUACCAAGCAGAUAAGCUGUGGACAUUUUUCAGUGUUAACAUAAUGACUUUCAUCAAAGGAGGAAGAAGUCUACUUAUUUUUCAUUUUGUUAAGGUGAGUUUGGAAGGCUUCGAUUCUAUAAAUCCUGAGAUCUAUGAUGUCUAUAAACCUAGCAUAUAAAAAUAGUGGCUUCAAAAAUAAAAGAGGUGAUAUUUCUGUUAGAAGAGAUUACUUUAUUUGACCUCCAACUCAUGAUUUUUAAGAAGUAUUUCAGACAAGUUCAGACAUCAGAUGUUUGCAGCAGGGUGUAACCGAAUGAUCAUUCUGGCUUGACAAGAUUAAUGUGAAAGCAACCUUUUUCCCUAAUUCACUUUCUUUUUUGCUGGUUGAGGUUAGCUAAAGUAUUUGCCAGACUGGGACAGAGCUUUGUCAUUAUCCUCCUCUUUCAGUAAUGAUAGACUUACUGAGUUGCUAAAGGAAAGCGAUUUACAAACCACCUUACAAAGAGAAACAUGACGCAAAGUAAGACAUGCCGUAGAUUAUAAUACCGUAUGACUGAUUUUAGUCUGAUAGAGGUGUUAGGCUAAUUAAGAAAGAAUUAAACUACACAUGACAGAUAUCAGUCGCAUUGCUUAAUGCGCAUUGCGCUGGAGGGUACAUGGAACCACAGGGGUGAUGAAAGCACUGCAAGAACAAAAACACAAGGAAAAUAAAAUACAAUUGCUGUGUGUAAGGAUAGUGGGUUUUGCAGGUAAAUACGGGAUUGUUGUUUGACAAGGUGUUUUUUCCAUGGCAUAAUUUAGCCAUUAAUAAAUCUUCUAUGCAGAAAACAUGUUAAGCUAUUAGAAACAGCUUGGGGGGGCUUCAGAGCACAGAAUCACCCUUGAACAGUUAUUUAUAUGAGAAAUAUUGCAUUAUUUUCUUAGUGUAAAAUAAUGACUUUUUCUCUUGUGAAAAACAUUCUUAUGUCAUCUGAACUUAAAAUCAAUAAAAUUUUCCAAGCUAAGAAGGUUGUGUUCAUAUCAGAAGCUUGUCUCAUUAAUUAGUUAAUACAAAGUAAAAACCCAUUUCGUAUUAAUAUGAGAAAGUAUUCAGAAAAUAUUUUCCAUGUAAAACAGAGAUUUUUUUUUUCCUCGGUCAUUCACUCUUAAUUUCUUAUGGUGAGUUCCUUUCCAAAAGAUUUUUUGGAGCUCUGAUUUAAGGUGAAAUCAGGCUGUUGUUUCCUAAAAAUAGAUUUAUAAGUAUGGAAAUAUAGAGAAGUUGUCUUUAGGCAUAGAAAUUUUUGGUCCUUCUUUGUAUUUAUGUAUCAUUUUCAUUUCUUCAUGCUUAUGUUGCAUAAAUCUGUUAGACCACAGAAUUAUACAUGUCCAUUCCUUACCAUCAGUGAGGUGAAUCUGUCUUAAGAAGAGAACAGGGUUAAGGUUCGUUUUUAGAUAGAGAGGUGAUGGUAGAACAUGUGGUAAAACUCCAAGGAGCAAUAAUACUUGUUCUAAUGUAUGUCCAGCGGAAGGAUUUCACAAAUUGCAAGGAGAAAUGUACUGAUUCAAGAACAAAACUGCAGAAGGUUCAGCUCUGAGAAGUAGAGGCUGUGCAUCAGCACUGAUGCUCUCAUGCCAUGCAGGCAGGUGGGACAGCCCCUCUCUCUGAGCUUUGCCGCAGUGCUGCCUUCUCUUUCCCUUCAGUCUGCCAGAAGUGGGAGCAGUUUAAAAUCAUGGAGUCCACAACACAAGGCUUUGGGCCUUUUGUUUUCUUUUUUUUUUCUUUGAAUUGGUUUAAUACUUAGAACAAUUCUAUGGCUCAUGAGGAUUUUCCUGUCUUUCAAGUAACUCCUUAGAAUCAGGUGUUUCAGGGCAUAUCUUAACUUGUGUAGAUGACAGCGGAGUGCUAUAUACAAUCAGUUAUUGAUUUGUGGAUUAACUUGGAGAGAAGGCAUGUAACAUAUAUGUGACUCUUGGUACAAUACAGCAGGUCACAAAUAAACUCCUCCAUCCACUGCACAUGCAUUUCCUCCUCCUUCACCCACAGUACAGCAGGGAGGGCUGUUCAGAUGACUGUGUGGGAUCUUCACAGAGAAAGGAGACACAUUUGGGGCUGGGACUGGACUGAACUUGGGACAGUAAUGCAGGAGCAGCACUGCAGCUCAUCAAAGUUUCUGAUAUCACAAGUUAUUUUAACUAUUGAAGAAGCAAGAAAUGAAAAAGCAAUUCCUCCCUUACAAACACUCUCUGUAAGUACAUAAAAUAACUGCAAAAUGGUGGAGUUGAAAGGAAGAUAAGGAUGUUCAUACUCUGUGCUGGGACUGGAUGUAGGUUCCUCCCUUUCAGGUGUGUGGUCUAAGCUUCAGGUGAUGGGUGUGGUUCCCAGGUUUUUGAAGUUUUACUUUUUCUUCUUUUUUUCAUCUUCCGCCGAGCAUAUCACUCUGCUUUCUCAUGAACAGAGUAAUUAGCUGAGCAAUAAGCAGAUCUCCCAGCAGAGCUGUUUUCAUUCUGCCGCCAUACUAUGUAUUUACCAUGGGUUACCAUGCUUUCCUUUGCUUUACAAGUGUUCUCCUCUUUCUGAGCUUCAGCUGAACAUUCUGCUCAUUUUAAAAACACUGUUGAAAACCAGUCAGAAGAGAAAACAAUCCUUACAAUUCAUUUGCACAUUCACCUCCAAAUUGGAAACUGCUGUUUUGUUUUUCUAAUCCUGCUAGUUUAUUUCCAGGUUUGUUGAGUCUUUGAAGGCUUUAUGUCACUUCCAGAGUCCUGAGAAGUUGUUUACUAUAAGUAAGAACAUACGGAGUGCCUUUUGGUGUGAGUAUCUUGUUUCCAAGCCCUUUUAACAAAUUAAGAAAAAAAGAAUAUUCCAAACCAUUCUGCCUUCAGCAGCAGCACAAUCAAAACAAAACAAAACAAAAAACAGGUGUUCAAACAAAAGGAAAAUAACUAAACCACAUAUUGCUUUAAAGUGUAUAAUGUUAGUAGAAAAUGUACUUCUCAAGAAGGAUGUUUGAUUACUCUGCACAUGAGCACUGAAUCCACCUUCCCUUCUUAUCGUCCAGUAAAGAAAUACAAUAUUCAUUUGAAUUUCAUUCUUGCACAUAGGUGCAAGUUUUAUCAGGAUAACAUAUGUAUGUUUUUGUAUGCUGAGACAUUGUUUUGCCUCUGCCUCAGCCUGUCCAAGGUGUAUUAAUAUUGACUGAUUAAUGUAUAUCCCAUGGUGUAUUAUUGCUUAUUUAAAGCAUAAUGCUGCAUGACCUUUUUUUUUUUUUUUUUUUUUCCUGUUAAUUAUAUUUUUCCCUUGUAGGAAAGCAAGUUUACUCAUUCUGAAUCAUGCCAAACCGCAUAAUCUGGAAAGGAAUAUUGUGGCUCUACUUGGAAAGUACUAAUUGGGUUUCAGCCAUCACUGGGAAAGUUGUAUAGCCUUUUAUUAUUUUAACUGGCCAAAUGCCCCUUGUUCCCACAUUAACAGCCUCCCUAUGACGCCUGUAACUUUGAUAUUAUUUUCACUUUUACGCUAAAUUUCACCAGAUGAAAGGCACAAAUGCUCCAAUUUCAAAAUAAAAUAAAAUAAAAUAAAUAGCAUGUUUUGUUAAUCCUGUAUUUCAGAGGGAAAGUCUGUGGAAAUGAUAACCUACGUCUACUGGCCAAAGUUUUGUUCAGUGAACCCAUCCUGCCAGCUGUUCUCAUUGGCAAGAGGAAAGAUAAUAUUUUGAUAUUUUUAAUUUCCUCAUUUUAGAGCAGAACUUUUGCUUGUGUCAUCAUUUAAAUCAUGUGUGUUAACAUCAGUCUGGCAGACAAUGCAGCCUUUAUAAAGAGCUGGGUUUGGAAGAUAUCACUGUGAUGUUGCAAUAAGGUUGUUCUAGAGCAUUAAACACAACUUAAGUCACUUACAGACAAGGAAUUGUUGCGGGCUCUCUGGUUUGUACUACUGAAGUACUGCUUUGAAUGUUCUGAGGAGGACACCAAAGCAGAUAUGUAGGAGCAUUUUAGUCAGAUAUAACUGGCCACUGAAGACACAAAAUAUCUCAAAACACUGGUCUCUCACUUGUGUUCAUGUUGUCCUCAUCUCACAAGGCAAAUUGAGAAAGGAUCACCAAAGAGCACCUAAGGUCCACUCCUUGGUGAGUGACAAGGGAUGGCCUCAGGUAGGCAAAAGGAACACUGAUAUUUCUGAGACAAAAAACAGUCACCUAAAGCUUGAAGCUUAACCAACAUACUUCCUAUCCAAAAUGCCCUAUCAUAUCCAAAAUGCAGACAGAACAUGUUCUCCCUUCAUCUUGGGUUCUGGCUGCAAGCUCUAAUUUCUACUAAAUAUUGAAGCCCACACCUUAGCAAAGGCUUAUUUCAGCAUAUCAUAGAAUCAAUUGUUUUGACUUGGAAAGGAUCUUUAAAUGCCACCUGGUCCAAUUCCCCUACAAUGAACAGGGACAUCUAUGGCUAGAUCAGGUUGCUCAGAGCCCCAUCCAGCCUGAUCUUGAAUGUCUUCAAGGAUGAGGCUUCCACCACAUCUCUAGGCAACCUGGCAAUCUGUUCCAGUGUUCCAGUACCCUUCCCAUAAAAAACUUUUUCCUCAUAUCCAGUCUAAAUCUCCCCUUUUUCAGUUUGAAACCGUUCCCCUUGUCCUGUCACAGCAGACCCUGUUAAGAGUCUGUCCCCUUCUUUAUUAUAGUCCCUCAUGAGAUACUGAAAGGACGUUAAAAGAAGAUUUCAUUCAUUUGUGCCUUACAGUAAUUGUAUAAUUACUGUCUUAAAUGCUCUGAGGUGGAUGGUGUUUAUGACCAUUCCAGUGUGUUUCAUAGGGGAACAGCAUAACCUUCCACUGUCCUGAAAUAGAACGGGGCCCUUCCAUUUAUUAAAGUUGUCUUGGGCAAGCCAGCAAAGUCUGUAAUGGCUCUCUUAUAUCACCAUGUGUGCACUUUGUAAUGCGGGGCACAUUUCAAGGAAAAUGGAGAUAGUUCCUACGGUUUGCCUACGUAUUGCUGUUGAAAUAUAUUAUUGCAAAAAUUGAAAAUAAAAAGAUUUUGCAUUUUGUUAGCAAAGCUCAGCCCUGCAACCAUACUAAUAAUACCACAGUUAUACCACAGUUACAACAAGGAUGCAAGUUUGCAUUUAAAUAUAUUUCUCCAGCUUUUGCAGUGUGUGAAUUCAGGAAAAAAAAAAAUCAAGUUUUAAUUUCCUCUAGGAACGUAUAAUAAUUUACUGCCUUUUUCUGGCUGUGCUGCCAUUCAGCAAGAUCUAGAUAUGUUGGAGAGUUGAAUGGAGAGGUACCUUUAUGAGCUUCACAAGGGUGACAGAGGGCCACAAAGAUGGUUAGGGACCUGGAGCAUCUCCCUUACAAGAAAAGGCUGAGAGACCUUGGGCUGUUCAGCCUGGAAAAGAGACUGAGAGGGUAUCUUAUCAAUGCUUAUAAAGUGCCGGAAGCAAGUGGAAGCCCAGAGACAACAGGUACAAACUGAAACCCAGGAAGUACCUUAUGAACAUGAGAAAAGACUUCUUUACUUUGAGGGUUACAGAGCACUGGAACAGAAUGCCCAGACAGGUUGUGACUUCUCCUCUGGAGAUAUGCAAAACUCACCUUGAUGCUUUCCUGUGCAAUCUACUGUAGGGAAACUGCCUUAAUAGGGGGUUGGACUAGAUGAUCUUCAGAGGUCCUUUCCAACCCCUACAAUUCUAUGGUUCUAUGAUUCUGUGAUUUUCUCCUUCUGGUUAGCAUUCAUUGCUGCAAAUGCAGUUACAAGUCUGUAUCUUAAGUUUUUCUUGCCUACUGAACUGACAGAGCCUUUCAGAGUACUCUCAGACAAGGUCAGUCCAUUAAUCAAGAAUGAAAGUACAAGGGAAAAAUGGCAAAUUCAUUUGGUAGCACUCUUAACAAGUUAUUUUCCCGAAUUUGGAGUUUGUGUGCCCCAUGCAACGGCUUUCUCAGUUAUUCUACAUGUACUGCAGUUUCACAAAGCUGCUGCAGAUGGACCUUGUCCAGAAGCUUGUUUAGAGUGAAACUGUAAAUUCCAGCCUCCUUGGAAAGCUAGCACUGUUGCAUUAGUGCUCCAAAAUACUGCAGGAGGUGGCUGAGAGCCUUGCACACUGUGAUCCCAUGCAGCAGGGCAGCUGGGAGGGUACUGUCAGGUACUGAUUGCACUCUGUGGGAUAAGCCAUGGAUGCCCACCAGCUGCUAGCAGCGAGGAAGCACUUGAACAUUGACCUCUUAUCUUAGAAAAGACAAAUAUUAAUUGCAACAACUGCACAAAUAACAAAGGUAGGGUGUUAAAAAAAAUAGUAAUAUCUUCCAUCUUUUAACUUUGUUCAGGUUAACUUGGAAAUUGUAGAGGCAAGUAUAUCAUUUUAGAUGAAAGGAAGAAAAUUUAGGAAACAAAACAUCCACAGCCAUAUUUCUUGAAAACAAUCAGAAAAGACAUCUGGCAUUAUUUAAGUCUUUCCAUAUCAACAGCUAAAUUUACAGUAAAUUGCAUACGUGAGCAAAACAAAAAAGAAAUCCACUAUGGUAGUGGAAGGAAAGAUAAAAGCUUUCUAAAAUCAGGAGUAGCAAAGACAGGUCACAGAGGGAACGGAAGUUUUUGUAUCACAAUAGACAGUAAACAAGGAGGCAUAAAAUAAUUAGUUAAUUCAAAACAAAUAAAACCAGAAGCGUUGCCUCAUGCAGCAGUUAGGCAACUUUGAAUUUGCUUGUCACAAGAUGUUGAGGUUUACAGAAGCUGACAUGAAUUAAAAAUCUCUUGGACGAACUCAUCCACCAGGACCUAUUAAAUGCAAAGAGGCAGCCUCAGACUUAGGAUAUUGUAUCACUGGAAGCUGGGAAGAUUAUGUGGGUAGUUAUCACUGCAAGCUUAUCAUUUUAUUAUAAUCUUCAGUAAUCGUCCACUUUUCACUAUUUGUCCUCAUUUUUGGAGCCAAGAUACUGGGCUAGAUGGGUCUUUUUCAGUCUGAGCUGGGAUGGCCCUUCUUGCAGCCUGAUUUUAAAUAAUUCCUGCAGUUUGUAGAGAAUCUUCUAAGGAUCAAUCUGAACAAUAUGAGUCAGAUAAAGGACACCGAACAGAACUAAGACUAAAAAUGUCAGGAGCAGAUAACUAAGAGAGAAGACUCUGCAAGUAAUAUAAAGAGAAGAUAAAGUAGGAUGAAGUUUUCAUCUAGCCUUUAACUCUUCAAGAAAAAAAAGUGCCACCACACAUGAUAUGAUGGAAAAUUACUCAUCUCUGUAAAAGAAAAAGAAUACUUCUAUCCUUCCAGUGGGUGAAAUUACAAGAAAAUUGAAAUUUGUCCUUAAACAGAAAGAAUUGUAAUUGUCAAAUCACAUAUAUAUCAAGCUCUGCAAGUGGAUGGAUUCAUAGUAAAUGAUGAGUUAAUGAGCAUAUGAAAGUGUAAAAAUCAUAGAACUUCCAGCUUAUUAAAAAAAGAAAAAAACAACCUACUUGAAUUAAUUCUGUAGUUACAUAUGCCCUAUAAAAAGGUAUUGAUCAAGUCAUUCCUCUGUCAUGAAAAAUGACUGAAUGUAAAAUAUUCUUUGAUUCUUCUUAUAUAGGUGAAAUCCUCAUAUUGUAUGGAUUGCUCAGACUUCACCAAAUUCCAUAGAACUAUGACAAGUAACAGCAGUUGAUGAUCUACCCAACAUGUGUACCAUGUUGGCCAACACAGCAAAAAUGUAAAUUCUGCCUUGAGGAAAUCACCUUUUUCAAUGAGCUCAUGGAUUGGAUAGCAGUACACGCCCUUUGUCUUUCUUGGGCCUGGGGCAACCCAAAGCCCCUCUGAAUCUGAGUCAGGCAAAGAGGAGUUGUCCCACUGCUGGCACCUGCAAGUGAACGUUGUAAAGUUCAGUUGUCAACUCUUUCUUUAAUGAAAUUCUGAAAGCGUUAUUUACAGUUAAACCCAGUAUUUUCUAAAUUGAGUGUCACCUCUAAUUCUCUAAGGUGACAACAAAGAUAUGAGUGAGCUGCUGUCUGGUGACUUUCCUUUUCCAGGGCCUUCAGAUGUUCUUCUACCUGACAAACAGCUCCAGUGACAUGAUGUUUUCAGGAGGUUCAUCAUUGGCUUCAGUGUACCCAGAUCUCAGAUUCAACUUCUGCUGUCAGAAAUUCUCACAGCGCUCUUUUCCAAGAAGGACAGAAAUCUUCUGUUUCCUUUUUCCCAUAUUAUCAACAAAACAUCCGUAAUCACACUUUCUUUUUCUACAUAUUUUCCCAGUAGAAGCUUGAGACUUGAUAUCUCACCUCCAACUGUCCGCUUUCAGUCACUACAACUUCUAGGUCAUGUAACUAAAUUAAAAAAAUAAACUUAUAAUGAAUAAGAAAAGAUUUCUUUGAAAUAAAAUGUAGUAACAUACAAAUAAUUUUUUGCAUUUUCAACCACUGAAGCAGAACAGUAGUCAUUUGGUGUAUAUCAUAACUUGAGGUAAACCAGUAUUUUUUCAGGACAUAAAAUGAGAGAUAACUUUUCUGUUGUUCCCUAAUGAACUGAAGUCAACAUGCUAGUUUUCUUUCUGUGUUAUCUUGAAAUAAAACAACUACAUAAUAACAGAAGGUUUAUUUUCAUUAUCAUAUGAAAGAGAGACACAAACAUGCAAAUUUUUUUUCAUUUUUAAAAAGGAUUAAUUUGUAAAUAUCAAUCUAUAACAUAUAAAAUAAAUAACCCUGCUUGAAAGAAUAGAAAAAGUUUUGUAUUUGUUUAGUCAUUGAGUAGAGAAUCAUGAACAUUUGCAUAAACAGUAGAUUCAGAUUAUCCUUUACCAUUAUUCUUUACUUGCUGGAAUGGAUACCUGGUAAUAAUCAAUCAUACCAGAACUAUAGCUGAUAAUGGAUGAUUAAAGGCUAGGGAACAGAUGUAAAGGGAAAGUAGAACUUUUUUUUUUUUUUUCCUGAGGUUCUUAUGUGGUUCUGCUUUAUUCCCUUCUACCAAGUUCAACCAAGUUCUGUGUAACAUAAGGGACUAAAUUAGGACUGGAUUUGGACUGUUUCCCAUCCUGUGAAAACAUCCCUUUCUUGAACUGAGAGAAAAAAGAUAUUACAAAUUAAGACCUUGAUAAAGUUUUGGAACUAAAAAUAAUGAUAAUGUCAAAAGAGUCAAUGGCAAUAUUUCUUUUAGGUUAUCUAAGAAUAUUUGGAUUGUACUAGAACUAGUGUAUAUUUUGUAACUAAAAGCCAUUUUUGAGAGAACAAAACCUUUGAAGUGUUAAAAAUGUGUUUUUAUCAAAUUCAGUUUUUCAGUGUUUUGAAAUCUUAUUUGAUCCACUUCCUACCAUGUUUUGGCUUAGACAAAUAGGUGUGUUUUUGGAUGAAAAUCAUUUCAUCUAAAAGUUCCAAGCUACUUUUGCUGUUCACAAUAAACCAUAGAAAUAUCACAGGAAACUUCUGGUAUAUACAGCGUCUUAAUCAGCUGGAAUUUGAAUAAUAUGCAGACACAUAUCUAACUCAUUCCCAAAUGACUAGGAAAUCUGUGUCACAUAUGCUUUUCAAAAAGGGAGUUCUCAAAAAAUUUAAUUAAACAAGAGAAUGAAACACAGCUUGUUCAGUUUGAGGUUGUUCUUUUUUUCUUUCUUUCUUUUCUUUCUUUUUUUUUCUUUCUUUCUUUUUUUUUUUUUUUUUUGGUAUUUAUUUAAAAUCAUCAUUCCAAUCACUCCAUUUUGUUUCCCAAUGUAUAUAUCUGUUUAAACCCUAUAAGUUCCUUAAAUAAAUUUGAGUUUUCUUUUGUUGGCAUCCCAAGAAUUCAGAUCACUGAGAAAUCUACCUGAGAACUCAAAAGAUGAUUAAGACCAUAGUGGGCAAACACACGUGCUUGACUACACAGGUAUUAGCAUGCAGUCAUCUACAGCACAAAUGUAUGCUUCUAUACCAGUUUCAGGCUCCUAGUUUUCUUUUUUGACCCAGUGGAAGAGCAGAGCUUUACAAAGCAAAUCCUGAAUUUUCACAGGUAAUUUUUCACAGGCCUCCAGGCCUCUUAUAAAAAGCUUAUAGGUUCCCCGUGGGCUCCUUGUGGAAAGCAACAGCAAGCACCAAUGAGCCAAAAUUAUUCCCACCAUUGAAACUCUUUAUAGUGCACAAAGACUAUAAGGUACCUUUGUGCCACAUCUCUUUCAAAUCCAAUUUCUGUUUAAAAAUACAAGCCUGCUUUUGUAAGUGGUUUGUCCAAGGAACAGUGGGAAAUCUUUGCAUUAUCACUAACUGAUUGAUUAUAAAGUCUGAUAGUCCUGUGUUUUCUGAUUCUAAUUAAAGGGAUAUUAUUCAAAUAGAUUACAAAACUUUCCUCCUGGUCAAUAAAGAAUUUUGCUUGUGGCUCUAGACAGAAACAUUAAUGCAUUUCUUGUGCUUAACAAAGUGCUCAUGGCACCAGCAGAGACUUUGACUUCAUACAUAAACACUAUUAACACUUCUUAGUUGCCUUUUAAGGUGGUAGAGCAUGAGGAGCUCUGCCAGAGAGGCUUUAUAAGCUUUAUCAAACCCUACAGUGGCAGUUCAGGGGAUUACCAGCCACAGCUGUCUGCUUUCUGAAGGCAGAAUGCCAGCCCUCAGCUGCUCACUUUGCUGUCCUGACUGUACUGCAGGUGUGAAUACAUUUUGGUCUCCUUAUGAUAUCUGCACACAAAAAAACAAGAGGAAAAAUCAGUGCAUGGAAAAGACAGUCUCCCUCUUCUUGAUCUCUCAGGGUACAGACAGUUACAGUCUAACAAAUCUAUUGGCAAUCAUCCCUGUAUUGACAGAGUUCAGGCUAAGAAUAACUGGAACUUUCUUUGGUUGUUUUUUGUUGUUGUUGUUCUUGUUUGUUUGUUUUUGUUUUUUUUGUUUUUCUUCUUUUCCUUUUUGAGAGGGUGGGGAAUAUCUGAUCCAGUUGUCACACAGACCCAUAAACAAUGUUACAAGGUCAACUGAAAGACAGUAUAGGCUGGGAAUGAGCAGCUGGGGACUGUUCGGAUAGCACUGUCAGUGAAUGGCACUGCUUUCCUGCACUUGCACUCAAUCUGAGUUCGAGCAUUCAGAUAAUCAUCUAUGACAUCUGAGAUACAGGAGCAGUGCCCAGCAGGUGGGCCAGUACCUGCUUAAAUCUAGCCCAAGUCACUGGAAAGGACAUCUGUCUCUUCUCUCAGAUCUGAUGCUUCAGUGGCCCCACUGCAGCUGAGCAGUAAGAACUCUGCCGUGCAUUUAUGAACUGAUAUUUUUAAGAAACUCUUACUGUGAGAUGUAUUUUGAAUAAGUUUUAACUCAUUCAAAAAUGGCCAAAAAAAAAAAAAAAAAUCCUGCUGUCAGAUGUGCCAAAUCAUUGCAACACAUGGAGGUACUAGAGCUUCUCAACAAAAAACAGUUGCAGAAAUAUUUUUAAGAUUCCUAAAAGAGCAACAUUUUCUCUUAGCCUUUGUUCAGCAAAAUCAUUUUAUCUGAAGCUUUUCACUCUGGGUCAUGUGCUGCUUUGGGAAAGGAAAGUCUGAAAAUGUUACAGGCACCUGAAAUUUCUGAAGAAUUCUUUUCUGAAGAAAAAAUCUGGGGCACCUGUGCCUAUGUUAUCUUCUAGUCUAAAAAAAACCUUGUCUCUCCUUUCUUCUUCUCUUGCAUCCAACCCCAGACAGUCAUGUUUCUAAGUAGACACUGGGGCUAGCAUACAAUACUAUAAGCAUAUCAAAAUGACUAAUAUGAAAGGGCUGAGUAAAAGGCCUUUAAAAAUAAACCAAAGAUAAAUCAUUAUUUAAGAAUUACUGUUUUGUUUGCUUGUCAUUAGACAUCUGUUCAUAGACACUGCAAAUGUUCCACUGUUUGUCUGGGUUUAAUCGUAACAACUUUGCAGAGGUGCCUUCUUCUUCCUCAUUGUUUUCACUUGGUUUCUAAGGCAAACAAUACCUAUUUUUUUUUCCAGGCCUUUUAAUUAUUUAAAGUUGCUAAAAUGCUAGAACUCAAUAAUUGCAUAGGAUGGAAAUUUAAAUCCAAACCUCAGAAUGUACCAAGUGUGUACAGUACCAGACCUUGUCUUGACCCCUGCCGCUGGUAGCCCCAGGACCUCCCUGCAGUGACUAGGUAUAAUUCAGGUCAGAACUUGACCCAAAAUAUGUAAAGCUAGCCCUCCCCUUCCUCCCUUCUCCCAGUCAGCUGCUCCCAUUUCCAGACCACAAAUAGUGUACUGAAUCCAAAUUGUUUACUUUGCUGGGAAUGCCAUCUGUGUGUUGGCAGCUGGGGUGGGAGGGAAGGCACACACACUGAACAACAGCGAUAAAUACAGACAGUGGACUAAAUUAGGAGUUCUGCUGCUUUCCAGUGCUCUGCAUCCUUGCGUGCUUCCAUUAAGUGGAUACAGUUCUUCUUAAACAGAUACUGAACAUCCAGAUUAUUCAGCAAGAGAUCAAAUUCAGAACAUUUGAAGAGAUAUAGAAAUAAGCCAAUCUGGGUAAAUACUAAGACUACUGAAAGGUUUAUGUCAUUUAUGGCUAAAUUCACUUAACAUCUUACAGUACACUGGAACCAGCAAGGGGAAAUAAAAACAACAGUAAAUACUAUCAAAAUGAGUACGUUGUAAGUCAUCCAAAAUGAAAAAUCAGAGAAGAUCUGGUGAGAAAGUUUCUCAUAGACCAAAGAUAAAGUCAAUAACCACUUAAUUGGCAACUGAUUCUGAAUUCUGAAGAGGAAUUGCUGGCAUAACAUCUAAAUUUCCCAUUUAAAAGGUCUUACAUUUGAACAAUUCACUAUAUUACAGAAAGGAUAAUUCAGUAGUUAAAAGCUCAUCUUAAAGUAUAUGUGUAUACAAAGUGUAUCUGUAAAUGUGAUGGCAGGGGAAAAUUUAAAGAUUAAAAUUUUGCUCAUAUUUCUUCACUAACAGCUUGACAACAGCAACAUGUCUACACAGAAUCCUAGAAUGCCUGAGGUGGGAAAGGACCCUUGAAAAUAGUCAAGUCAUACUACUCUGCUCAAAGUAGGGUCCAUGAGGGUUGCUCAGCACCAUGCCCAGCUGGGUUUUGAAUAUCUCCAAAGACACAGAAGCCACAGCCACUCUGUUGUCUUACUCUUGGAAUUGUCUAAAAUACAUGAAACUUAAGAACAAUCAAUAACAAGAAGUGAGCUCAGUCCUUCAGCAAAUCUACAGCUGCAGUCCUGAAGAAAUUAAAUGACAAAGAAAUGGUUUAACACCCCUUAAUUUAUGAAAGUUGGAUUUACGUCACUAACUUGAUUUACCUUAGCUUACUUUGUGUAAUGCAAAAAUGACAGCUCUUUUGUGUAAGGUUUACCCAUCCUGAAGAGAGUACAUGGAGGCAAGAAGUUAACUUUCAUCAGUUUGAUAGAGAGGUCCUCAUGUUACCAGGGGGGCUGGCUGGUGGACACUCCCCCAAGUCCUCAUUACUGGUGGCGGCUGGCUGAUAGAAUGUCUACACUGGGAUUACCUCCAACAGGUUCUGGUGGUGACUCGCUGACAAGAAUUCCACACAACCCACUGGUAGCAUGGCCAUACAUAUAAAUGCAGGAGACAAUAAAGUAUGGUGUAUUAGGAUAAGCAGAGUCAUGGGCAGAAAGCAAGGAUACUUAGUUACUACAGAGAAGUAUUUCUCAAGGGAGUUUCUUCUAGCUGCAUCCAGAAUCUAGAGGCAGUUCACUUGUGUUCCCAAGCCAGCAAGAGCUCUUUCUCAUGGGCUAGUCGCCUGUCCAGGCCGUAUUCAUCUGUAUUUUUCCACAAACUUGGCUACUCUUAUUUAGAAUUGACUGGAAACAGGUUUCCUACUUCAGUUUUCCAACAGCAAGACAUAAAGAAUAAGGAAGGACACGUCCUAUUGGUAAGCAUUUUAACAAUUUGGCUGACAUUGGUCCACUAGAAAAGGCUAUGUAAUCAAAAAUGUACAAUCGCAUUCACAUCAGCUAUAAUAGGCUUGUCACUGUAUCUGCCCUUCGGAUUUCCUAAAAUGUGCUGCACUAAUGUUUGACUGUAAUGUAAGGUAAGAUUUUCUCUGCUGUGACAAUGCAUAGGCUUGAAGAUCUUGUAUUUUCAUGUAAGAGUUAAAUCUUUCAAAACUGAUACCCCAGAUCCAGAGGUAUUAGGAAAGUGAGGAAGAAAUGUCUUGGUUCAGAAAUGGGUUCCUAAUGCCUAUAGAGAUAGCUGAUAGUUGUUCACAAAUGAUCAAAUCAUAAAUGUUGGUUAGUUUAAAAACUCUCUAAAGUGUUAGAGUAAUUUUUUAGUAUUUUUAUUUGAAAUACAGGCCACAAAUAGAUUUCCGUAUAUUUUAGAGGCUGAGACUAUCCCAAAUAUACGAUAUAUGGGAGAUACUCUAAAGUGAUUCACCUAAAUACCGUGGGCCAAGUUUCUGGUCUUAAUGGAGAACUUCUCUUUGUUCUCUGCAGCUUACCUUGGUAAUUUCUUCCAAUUUUAUUAAUAUCUUCUUAGAAUUAUUCCUUAAGGAAGAACCUUGAACUGCAGAUCACCUGCAAUGAACAAAAUUCUUUACCAGCCACAGUGAGAUUCACAAAACAGCAAAAACAGCACAGAACAGCAUAAGCAGAUUAUUCUGAUACAUUAGAAAUAUUGAAUUUCAUUGCUUUGUAUAUAUUUUAACAGAAAAUUUUAAAGUCCUGAGUUAGCACCUGAAUUCCAUUUGAAUAACUUUGCCUCAAAAACCUCAUGUUAUUACCUUGAGACUUAAGACCACCAUCACCACUGAAAUUUUUGAAUUAUUCAGAAAAAUUGAUUGGGUUUUGGUCUGUUUAAAGUCACUGAAGAAAAUGGGAAAGAAAAACAGGUACUUAUACAAAUUCUACAAUCACCUCAAUUUUGUAAUUCCAAAUUUGCAGCACAAGAUCUACAUGACAAAGCAGGAACACUACCUUAAAGCCUUGUUUUCUUGUUUUCCCUGUUCCUUGUUUUCUUUGGCACAAAAGCUUUGUUCAUCAGUAGUCAUACACUUUCAUAUGUACUGGUGUUUGUAGACUUUUAAAAAAUAAGUACUAUUCCUCAGUUUUCUUGUUAAAUAAAUAUUUUCCCAUUCUAAAAUGAAGCAAGGAUUGAAUUGGCUAGCUAGUUUAAGAAGUGAGCAGAUUUGGUAACAAAGCAAGUCACUGAAAUGGCCACAGAGAUUUUCAUGGUGGUCUUAAUGGACUUUGAACAUCUCUCCUGGAAGAACCCCUUUUUCAUGGUCCAGUUUCUGUCUCAGUCAUCAAAAGUUACUUCUAAUUAAAAUACUGUAUCUAGUGGUUUACCAGGAGAAUAAAACAGAAAAUUCCAAUUUUUGUUCCGAAGAACAAAUGUGUGUUUGACAUUUUUGGAGUAACAUUAUAGCACUGCUUCUUAUGUAAGUUUUCCUCCUUCACACAAUUUUCUCUUCUGAAGGAAAAUGAAGCAUUUGUUUUUUGUUGUAAAAAGAGAUUCUUGAAAGAGUUAACAAAAAACAAAAGCUUUUCUUGCAAUUUGAAAGAUCUUGGUGACAUGUCAUUUUUCCAGAAAAAAAGUCUGCAAUAGCUCAGGAUUUCCAUGAGUAGUCUGGAUUUCGUGGGAGGAAAGAUGAUGGCAGGAAGUAACUGAGUACAUCUACAGCUGAUUGUCUCAACCUUCCUGGCUCUGAACUAUGUGUGCUAAGUGCUGCCCUAUGUGCAUUUUCAUACAAAGCAGUUUCUUGAAUUAAUAGAAUACAGCAGAAAGGGAUUUGAACUUCCACUCAUCCUGCUACCACUGAUGUGCACCGUAAUUGCCAGGCACAGACAACACAGUCUACUUGUCUCUAUUUUCUUCCUUCGUGAGUCAGAGAGAAUACAAUGAGCGAGCAGUAGUUAGAAUUGGUCAGAUUAGUAAAUGAAUAAGCUAUUUAGUGUAAUGAAUAAAGCAUUAUUCAAAGUCUGCUUUUUAAAUACCCUUUUCCUCAGCUCAGUGAGCCUUGAAAAAAGGCAUAUCAGAAACUAGACAUUACUAGACAUUACUUCCAAGCUGAAUUUACCCCUUUACAAGGGGUCUCCGUUUACAGAAAAAGCAGAUCAAUACAUUGAAAAAGGUAACAGUAUGAAUGACUGCAAGAAAAGUAGAGAAACAAAAUCUGUGGUUCACAUGUGUUGCUCUGUUGUGCUCAUGGGUGAGCAUUCACAUGAGCAGAGAUGCCUUUAUUUUGCCCACUAAAAUUCUCCUUAUGUUUUCUUUCCAGCAAGUGGAGAAACUCCUCCAGACGUAGUCGCUGCAGAAGCCUGGGGUCAGUGCACAGCUCGCUGCCUGCGGGAACCACCUUCUUUACAGGCUUCUGAAAAAUAAGCACAUUGCUCAGCCAUGUUAGGUCUUUCAUGUUGCGUGCUCCACACUAAAGAAAUAAGCUAGCAUUGUGAAAGAGACUGCCUGGUGACCGUCCCACCAUCUCUGUUGCUCACAGGAAACCACUACUGCUGCACUUGGGACAACACUGAUUCUUCUGUGUCUGAAGUUGUGGCUUCAAAUUGCAGUAAAGCUGAUAAAAUAACCAGCUGCUGUGAAAAGAAGUGUCCUCAUACUUCCCCUCUUGCAUGUAAUCUCCCUUGUGCUAGCUGUGGUCUGUGCCUGGUCCCAUGGUAAACUGGUGCAGGGAGAUGGCCAGCAACAUGCCACCCUCCUCAAAGAAGUAGUUCUCAGUGUGGAGUUGUCUUAGUCAAGUUUGUCAUUAAACAGCAGCAAGCACAAGAAACUACUGAGCAUUUUUUUCACAUGUGCAGGAAAAGAUUGAGGUUGUUUUAUUAUUUUACAAACCAAAAGAUCCAAAAUACCCCGUAUGGUAUUUUAUUACAUUAUCUCUUAUUCCUUGGAACCUAUCAUAGAAGGCCUCAUAUUAAAUAAAUAAAUAAAUAAAUAAAUAAAUAAAUAAAUAAAUAAAUAAAGGGAAUAUAGCAAACAAACCAAACCAGUAGGCUAGGAGCUGGAAAACAAAACCAUCUAAAUAUAAAUAAAUUGUGGACACCUUGUAACACAAAAUUCCUACGCAUUGUCAUCUGUUGAUUAUUACAGUUUCAUUUAGUUUGGAGUUUGCUUUAUUUUCAUGCAACUUUUGUCUAUCCAAAUAAUUACAGUUGUAUUGCUGUAUUAGUUUGAAUCUAGUCAUUGAGACAAAUAGAAGAGCCCAUCUCUGUCAUUCUGGCCAAUAUUACAUUCUAUUACAUAAGAAAUGGGAAUUAAACAUAAGAUAUGGGAAUUAAAUCAAUUUUAAUGCACCAUUGUAAUAAGAAGACAAGUGUAGUUCUAGAUUGCAAUUAUGGAGAUAAUUACAAUUUCAUUGGUAUUGCUUAGGUUUAAGAAUGCAAAGUUUACCUUGGGUGAACAUUUCAUUAUCUAGGAUGAAUCCAAGCUAUUUUUCUUCUAAAUCAUAUCUUGGCUUAUUUCCUAACUUUGACUGUUUAAUAGAAACAUAGAGAAUUUUACAGGUAGACUAUAUCAAAACAGGCUAGCUGGUUCAACUCCAAAUUACUGUACAGUGAUUUGAGAAAAAACAUUAAUUUUGAAGGAGCUCUGGAGGCUGAGUAUAAAGAUUAUUAAACAUAAGUUUUAUAUAUGCAGAAAAAUUGCUUUUGCAUGAAUUCACUUUUAAAAUGUUAAUAUAUGCAUAAGAAAAUUGUGUUUCUUAAUCUCUGAAGAAACACUUAUCACUAGGAACCACUUAAUUCUUUUCCUGCGCUUGAUUUAUUAGCUUAUGAAAUUAUGCUAAUAGUUUGCAUGCUAAUGGUUUUGGGGCUCAAAUGACCUGAUUUUAAUAAUGAAGUAAUUUAUGCAGUAAAUGCAGUCAUCAUCUAUGAAUCUUACUUAAAAGAACAUAUCAGUGAUUACUUAUGCUAAAACCAAAUGCCUGUCAAUACGGCACACAGUAUUUGUCAUGACAGGGAAAUGGGAUAUGCUCAGCCCAGUACACCCUUUAGGAUGGUUGGGUCCCACACUGCUGAGCUACACCAAGGCCUGCAACGACAACUCUCGUAACAGUUUAUGAAACUCAUUGUCAGCCAACUUCCUUGCAUGAACACCUUGGAGGGAAAAAGACAAUGGCAGGAAAUGGAUGGAACCAGGAAUGAAGUCUAACCUGGAACCAGUAAGUUCUCCUCUGUGAGUAGGAGAUCUCAGUGGCACAGACACCAUACACCUUGGCGGAGGAGAUUGUGGGAAGAAAGUUUGUCUUUGGGUGAGAAGAUUUAAUCUUUACAAGAAAAGGAGCACUUUUAUUAAGGCCAUGAGCUGCAUGACAUCUUAGAGGUGCAACCCCUUGCAACAUCUGGGAAGCCUGUGUGUAACAGAUCCUUCACAAAGAUGCUUUCCUAAAACAUCUGUAUAGAUCUGCUCACUGCAAAACUGUAUUUGAAUCUGUCCCCCACAUAAUUUACUGUCCUGUUCUCCAACGUGAGGAGAAAUUCAUGACUUCAUUCUGAAAAGAAUACAGCCAUGGUUUCUUUGCAGUAAUGUAAGCUUGUGUUUUGAUAACCCGCUGAACAUCAAUAUUCACUUUGGUAUAAAAAAAUAAAAAAUAUAUUCUUAGCUGCCAAAGAUAAUCUAACAGUUCAAACACCCAGACAGAAGCUGGGAGAGGUCAGAUUGGAUGUUAUCCAAAAUGUAUAAAGUCAAUAGAAGAACUGGAUCAUUCCCUCCCCAUAGAAGCUCCAAUGCCUGAAGGCCAGAAGUCCC